CUCCAGGGCGGGAGAGGUCGGUGAGAGGAGGCGAGCUGCAGGCGGGCAGACUGGAGCCUUGCACCCCGGAAGCUGGUGGGAGAGAGAAAGAUGUGGCAGAGGCCGCAGAGGACGACAGUGACGCUAAGGCUGACGGUGAUGAUGGCAGAGACCAGCAGGACAUCGCGGGUGGGCGCCCCUGGAGAAGACAUGCACAGGUGGUUGUGAACAUGAGCUCAAACCUAAAUGUAAGGAAGGCGAAACUUGACCAGAGAUUAUCGUGUGGGGGAGUGAGUCGACAGAGACCGGCACAGAUCACACGUGCUCUGUAAAUAUGUGUGCGCCCGGAUGGAUCUUCAAGUCAAGGAGACGCUGUUUAUUUACAGAGGAGCCUGCGUGGGCUUUUUGGUUUCAGCGAUGGUGGUAAUUAAGAGUCGAAGAUAUCUGUCUGCUCCCGGUUCCUGCGGUUUUAGCUUCUGGGUGCCUGGUCCCUGUCGCUUUGCCGUGGGGCCUUGUGGAGGAGAACCCAGUGGUCAGCUCCAGCGCUCAGGGCCCUUGGGCGGCCUCCCACCACGACUCCAGCGCUCUGGGCAGCCGGUACUGUUGUCUGGUCUCCUUAGAAUCCCCCUUGGGCUCCACCCCUCCCACUCCAACGUCUGGAGUCUCCAAGCUGUGGGGAAAGGCCACUCUUGCCAGGCCCCUCCGUGUCCACCUGCCAGGCCAUCUAUACUUCCUCCUGUCCUGAGUCCCUGGCCUCGGCCCCCAGAAAGCCACUGCACCCAGCUCACUGUCAACCUCAGAGUCCACAGCACCCAGGGGCUCUGGCCUGGACAGCCUGCAGACACUGGGAAAGUGGUCCUGCCUUUCCCUCCAUCCAGCAGAAGAGCACAGCUCUGCUGAGGCUGGAGGGGCCACCUGUGUCGUGGUUCUCAGGCCAGAUGGGAGGCUUCCAUCUUGAACCUUCAGGCUCCAGGGGGUACGGAGGGACCAUAAUACCAUAAGCCCCCAGACUCAGGCCUGUGGUCAAGAGAUGUGUGGUCAUAGCUUCUGGGAAUGGGGCCAGUGCUCUUUCCAGCUCUCUCCAUGGGAACUGCCCCUGCCCCCACAGGGGGCAUGGGGGUGGGGUGCUGUGUGGGCUGGGAGAGCAGACCUUCCUUUGCUGAACUCACUUUUUAAAAUAAAGUUAUUCCCUCCUUGG